rnacentral:lncRNA from 1 species
CCUCUCCCUACCCCUUUCUCGUCUUCUCUGGUGCAGAUCCUAGAUCCAGUCCUUGCAUGAAGGUCCUCCUCUCAGGAUCUGCUUCAACGGGAUGGCAGAUGCUUAAGUACAUGCAGGCUGUGAAGUGAGUUGUAAAUAAGAUAUUGUUAUUAGGACUAUCCCUGAUAAGAAAGGCAUGUCCUCUGCACCUCUAAUCCUGGGCCACUGCUAUGCAUCCCCACUUAGAUGACCGACUGCAGUCGCUCAGAGCAAUUGUAGAGGAUGGCAAGGAAUCAACCUAUUUGGAUGAAGACGUUUUGUGGGCGGGCAGAGAAGAAAACUCUUGAGAGAAGGAAGCAUUGCCAGGGGCAUGGGAGCCUACAACUGCUGGUGCCUCAGUCCCAUCUUUGACCAAUUCAUUCAACAAACAUUUAUCAAGGAAUGUCUUUGUGCCAGACCCCAUCCUAGGCAUGGGGCAUGCAAGAAGGACAGGUCCCUGUACCCAUGGAACCCCCGUGCAGGAAGCAAAACAGGAAAUGAACAAUUAAACAAAUACACAGUGUAAUUUCAGAUCAUACUAAAUGGUGGAAAAUAAAGUGUGUUGAUGUGAUAGCAAGGGACUGGGGACUAGGGAGCGUCCGGGAUUGCUGUCUGUUAGGAGAUCAUAUUUGAGUUGAGACUCGAAUGCAGAGAAGGAAUCUACUGAGCGAAAACUAGUGGAAGAAGCACUUCUGUUCAACAUAGCAGUGGAACUCCUAGUCAGAGCAAUUAGGCAAGAACAAUAAAUAAAAGGCAUCCAAAUUGGAAAGGAAGAAGUAAAAUUAUCUCUGUACUCAAGUGACAUGAUCUUAUAUGCAGAAAACCCUAAAGAUUCUACAAAUCCCCCUGUUAGAACUAAUAAGUGGAUUUGACAAGUUGCAGGAUAUAAAAUCAAUGUGCAAAAAUCAGUGAAUAUGAACAAUUCAGAAAGAAAAUUAAGAAAACAAUUCAAUUUACUAUAGCAUCAAAAAGAAUAAAAGACAGGAAUAAAUUUGAAGAGGCAGAAGAUUUGUACCAAAAACUAUAAAAAACUAUAAAAAUUGCUGAAAAAUUAAAGCAGACACAAAUAAAUGCAGACACCAGAUGAUGCUCAUGAAUCAGAGGACUUAAUACUGGUAAAAUGCCCUUACCUUCCAAAGCGAUCUAUAGAUUCAAUGCAACCCCUAUCAAAAUUCUAAUUUUUUUGUGGAAAUAGAAAAAUUUAUACUAAAAUUCAUAUGGAACCUCAAGGCACCUCAAAUAGCCAAAACAAUCUUGAAAAAGAAGAAUGGUUAGAGACAUCACACUUCCUGAUUUCAAAACUUACUGCAAAGCUACAGUAAUCAAAACAGUAUCAUACUGACAUAAAGAUAGGUGUGUAGACCAAGGGAACAGUACAGACAGCCCAGAAUUAAACCCUCACAUGUAGGGCAGAUGAUCUUCGACAAAGAUGCUAAGACCGCUCAAUGGAGAAAGAACAGUCCCUUCAACAAAUGGUGUUGCAAAAACUGUAUAUCUACAUACAAAAGAACCUUUUAUCAUAUAUAAAAAUUAACUCAAAAUGGAUAAAAAACCUAAACACAAACCUAAAACUGUAAAACUCCUAGAAUAAAACAUAAGAGAGAAGCUUCAUGACAUUGGAUUUGGCAACGAUUUAUUGAAUGUGAAACUAAAAGUGUAGACAGCAAAAGAAAAAAUAGAUACAUUGGACUACAGCAAUAUUAAACACUUUGCAUCUAAAGACACAGCAGAGUGAAAGGUAACCUAUGAAAUGGGAGAAAAUGUUUGAAAUAUAUAUAAGGGGCUAAUAUCCAGGAUAUUAAAAACAAACUCCUACAACUCAACAACAAAAAAAGAAAUAACCCUAUUAUAAAAUGAGCAAAGGACUUGAAUAAAGAUUUCUCCAAAGAAGAUAUACAGAUGGCCCAUAAACACAAGAAAAGAUGCUCAGCACCACUAAUCAUUAGAAAAAUGCAAACCCAAACCACAAUGAGAUACCAUCUCAUGCUCAUUAGGAUGUCUACUAUCAAGAAAACAGAAACUAACAAGUGUUGGUGUCGGUGUGGAAAAACUGGAACCCUUGUGCACUAUUGAUGGAAAUGUCAAUUGUAUACCCCUAUGGCUAUACCCUAUGGAAUUAUACCAUAGGGGUAUACCAUGGGGGUAUAAUUGUAUACCAUAGGGGUUACCAUGGGGGUAUAAUUGUAUACUAUAGGGGUAUACCAUGGGGGUAUAAUUGUAUACCCAUAUGGAAAACAGUAUGGCUGUUCCUCGGAACAUUAAACAUAUAAUUACCAUGUGGUCCAGCGAUUCCUUUCUGGGUAUAUACCCCAAAAAAUUGAAAGCAAGGACUUGAAGAGGUAUCUGUACACACAGGCUCAUAGCAGUAUUAUUUACAAUGUCCAAAAGACGGAAGCAAUCCACGUGUCCAUUGACAGAUGAAUAGAUAAAGAAAAUGUGGUAUAUCCCUACGAUGGAAUAUUACUCAGCCUUAGAAAGGAAGGAGAUUCUGACACAUGCUGCAACACGGAUGAAGCUUGAGGACUUUAUGCUGAACGAAAUAAGCCAGUCACAAAAGGACAAAUACGGUAUGAUUCCACUUAUAGGAGGUACCUAGAGUAGUCAGAUUAUAAAGACAAGGUGGAAUGGUGACCGCCAAGGGCUGAGGGGAAGGAGAAUGGAGUCGUAUUUAACGGAUACAGAGUUUCAGUUUUGCCAGAUGAAAAGUUCUGUUGAGGGAUGGUGGUGAUCGUAGCACAAUGGUGUGAAUGUAGUUAAUGCCACUGAGCUGUACACUUAGAAAUGGUUAAGGUGGUUAAUUUAUGUGUGUAAUUUACCACAGUUAGGAAAAAUGAUCAGAAGAGAGUUCCAUGCUUAGGGAACAGCAAAUGCGGAGGCCCUGUGGGUAGGAAUGAGCUUGGCAGAUUUGAGACAAAGGAGUCCUGUGCUCUGGGAGCAAAGUGAAUCAGGUGGGGGAGUGGAAAGAGGUGUGACCACAAGGACAGACAGGGGACAGAACAGGCUGGAUCUUCUGAGUUUGCAUUUGAUAUCAGAGAUGUGAAAUCUGAGAUUCACAACAAAGAUCCCCAGUAACUUGCCCAAGGUGAAAUAGUCAGUAGGUGGCAGUGGCAGGGAGUCCAAGUGGUUCCCUAACAGAUUAGCUGUUUCCCCUUCUUCCUUAGUAAUAGAACUACUGCUGACUAUCAGUUGUGCCUAUGGUCACCCAGAGUCAUGACUACCUUUCCCAGCCCCUUUGCAGCUAAGCAUGGCAAGGGAACUUAGUCCUAGACAGUGGGAAAGUAGGCAAAAUCAUCAUGUGCAACUUUAAGGGUGUGUCCUUAAAGACAGAGGUAUUCUCUUCUUUAUCUUUUGUGCUUUCCUGCUAUCUGGAAUGUCAGUGUGAUGGUUGGAGUUUGGCAGCCAUCUUAGACCCAUGAAGCAAGGGAGAGUGACAUGACAGAUGGGAGAGUGUGGCCGACAUUGGACUUGGGAGUUGGGAGGGCUCCUGAGGUGGUGUCACUUGACCUGCCUUGUCUGAUGAGGAGGAGCCAGUGGAGGGUGGGCAUAUUUAAGUAAGGUCACUCCUGGUAGAAGGAUCUGAGGUGGGACAAGCUGGGAGUAAGAGGGGGUGGUGGUUGGACACAGCAGGGAGGCUGGAGGGACUGAGGGCAGGUGUGAGGGGAGCUUGGGCAGAGACAGGAGCUGAGAGGGGGCAGGGCCUGGCCCAUCAGUCCCGUGAUGGGGACACUGGAAGGUUGUGGUCAGAGAGCUGCCCAGGGCUGAUUCAGCAUGAGAAGGAUCCUUCUAACUGCUGUGUGGGGAAGGGGCUGCUCAUGACCAGGACGGGAGGCCAGGGCAAGGCUGGGGAGCCAUUCAGGGUCAGCAGAUGCUGGAAGAUGGAAUGGGAAGCACAUGUUCUGUAGAGUAUAGAGUGGAACCACCUGCGGGAUGAUGGGCCAGCACCUGCCCUGGACUCAGGGACAUCUGUGGCUGAUGAUUGUGAUAAAGAUGGGGGAUGACCUCAGAGCUCCCUUCCCAGCCUGCGUUUCUGCAGGGAAAUGUCAAAUCCAGGGAAUGGAAUUGAUCCCAGCAUAAAAAACACAUGACACUGUGGAGCCAGGAAGGAAGGUCAUGAGAAUGUUAUCAGAUGCCAUAUAAUACUCAAUAUAAAACCAAUCAAUAAUAAUCAGAAGUAAUCAAUAUAAAGCCAAUAAUCAAUAUAAAAUUCAACGCAACCGUAAUGAGGGUGAUGAUGCCUAACAUUUUAAACCCUUGCAUCCCAUGGGCAGAUGGUGUACUGAGCACUUUACUGGUAUUUUCUGCCUUAACUUGUCUGAUAAUCCUAUGUAACAGGAACUAUCAUUAUCCUCAGUUUAUAGAGGAGGAGACUCAGGCACAGAGAGGUUUAAAUAACCUGCCCAAGGUCACACAGCUAGUAAGUGGUAGGCAGUGGGCUGGGAUUUGAACCCAGAGAACCUGCCUCCCAUGCAGGUGUUGUGUGCAAAUUUGGCUCAGCCAAUUGGAUUCUCUUGUCUAGAUCCAGGAGGUCUUCACCUUUCUGGAUAUCUGGCUCACUUGCAUCCUGUGAUUGUGCCCCCCCAGAGUGAGGGGGUGCAUCAGGGCUGAGGAUGCUGGUUUGAGUCUUUGAGCAGCAUGUGAGACAAACCGAGCAGCAGAUGUGGCCAGGUGGGAAAGCCGACACCUCCUGGACUCUCGAAGGCUGAACUGGAGACCCAGGGACAGGGACGGGAGGGUCCCAUGGGAGUCCCCAACUCUUAUCAUCAUUUCCGUGUUCAUUUGUUCUUGGGAGAGGGGACAUCAGAGCCUCCUUCCCCCAUUAGAAUUUUUGCUCCAAGAAGGGGUUUUUGUUUGAUGUGUGUCUCUAGUGCCUUGGGCAGUUCCUGGCUCAAUAUGUAUAGAAAUAUUAUUGUAAUAAAGAUGAGGGCAGCGACCUUAUCUGUCCCUUUCAACCCAGCACCUAGCAGAGUACCUGGCAUGUGGUAGGACUCAAUAAAUAUUUGUAGAAUGAAUGAAUGGAUGAAUGAAUGAGUGACAUCUCUCAAUCCUUCCCCAUACCUGCCUCCUCUGUCUUCAGGACCCUUUCCUCCUCAUCUCAUUCCAACAUCCCUGUUUUGGGGCUUUCUUGGGUGGAUUUGGGGCCCCAUUGUGCUCCCCCAGUGCCUGUUUUAACAGCCUCCCUCCUGCCAAGAUGACAAAUGUCUCUCAGCCCUGGAAGCUGAGGCUGCCUCCACUGUGAAGCUGAUACCACUGUUGGAAGAUGCUUCCUCCCACAUUGGCACUGCUCUGCUGUGCCCCGGGGUUGCGGCACCUCCUCUGACUGGCCCUUCACUUCAGUCACACUCCUGGAAACAAGUUCCCAGGCAGACCCCGUCCCCAAAGUCUAGGAUUCAAUUGUCUGCUUAUACCAGUGCUAAAAACAGCAUGAUUUCCCCCAACUCAGCUGCACCUGUGCAGACAAGAAUAAGACAGCAUAUUUUUAGCAGGUAACAGACUGCACACAUGCAGGCUAUAAUUAGCAUUUCAUUCAAAGGGAGGAGUUUCCCAUCCAAUGCAAGAGUGACUGACCACGGGGUCUUCUCACUGCAGCCUCUGUCUCAGGUGCCUGGUGCAGGAAGGAGCCAGCAGCACUGAGGGAGACCCUGGGGUUCCCUGGGCACCCAGGAAAGGGGUGGGGCCUUUUUGGAUAUUGCUCCCGUCACUGCUCAUACCUUUCUCUCUGGCCUGUCCAGAGCCUUGGUCCUGCCCAGACCCUAGUGCUGUCCUCCUGUGAGGAUGACCUGGCCAGGCCAUGUGAUGAAGGUGCCCUGUCAGGUUGGUGUGGGGCUUGCAGGUCCUCUGUCCUGCACUCAAGCUGCCCCAUGGGGGACAGGGACAGGGCUGGGGUUACCCAGCUGUGGCAGAGACUGCUGGAUGACCUCAGCAUCCCUCCUGGUAGCAGUGAGCCUAGCUGCCUGGAAUAAAGACUGCAUUUCCCAGGCCUCCUUGUGACCAAAACAUGGCCAGUGGGGUGUGAACAUUGUCUUUUUUUCCUUCUCUUUGGAUGGGAGAAAACAGGGUACAGAUGUCUGGGAUGAAGCAGAAGGCAACGGUCUCAAAAAUCCGAGGAUAAAGAUAGAAGGAGGUGGGGCCUCAGUUUCCUCUGCUGUAAAAUGGAAGAGUAAUUAUGUCUAUGUUCUGUGGUUUCUGUAAGUUAAGAUUCUUUCAGCUGCUAAGUGAAGAAAAAUUAAACCCCAAUGGUCUAAGGCAAAGGUGGAUUUAUUGGCUCAGGUAACUGGAAAAAAAAUAUUCAAGAAAG